rnacentral:snRNA from 1 species
AGGCACUUUUCUGAAAGUUUAGC